GGAGAAUAUUAUGCUGAGUGCAGUUGAUCAAUCACAAAAGGUCAAAUAUUGUAUGAGCCGACUACUAUAAAGGUGAAAACCAAGACAGACUUGAAGACCAAAGGAGAUUCCCAAAGGAAGGGAGUUUGAAGGAAGAAGCACAUGGAAAAAUCUACAAUGUUAAAGCUAGCCUGAGAUGGAUCCAAAUCAAAUAGCAAACGGAAAAUAACACCGAGGAGGCGCAGCAGCUCCAAGCCAUGGCUAAUGAAACUCUAGAAGUGUAGCACAGAGACAGGUGGCUCACAAGUCUUUGCUUCAGGUUUGCAUCGUUUAACCUUCGAAGCCAGUUGCUCCUCCAGGAAAGGAAAUUUAAUGUCACAGCCUUUGCUGUCAUGACAAGUUACGUCAUGCUGCUAACAUAACAACGGCUGAUGUUAACUCAUGACAACCCUGUGGACAACAGAGUGAAACACUGCCGGGUCCUGUGCCACCUUCACAACCAUUGCUGUAUUUGAGUCCUUUGUUGCAGUCACGGCGGCAAUCCACCUCGUUGAUGUCUUCCUAUUUCUUGAUGCUCCUUUACUUUAACAAACACGGUAUUCUUAUUCAAGGACUGGUCCCUCCUAAGAAGAUGUCCAAACCCAUGAGAUGAAGUCUCACCACCCUCACUUCUAAGAGCAUACCUGUUGUACUUCUUGCAACAUAGUGUAUUCAAGAUUGUUCACCUAUACCAUAAUCCAGCACCUCAGUUCUUCAUUGUUCACCUUUCACAUGCAGAUGCGGUGACUGAAAAGACAUGGCUUGGGUCAGAUGCACAGAGAUGCCUUUGCUUUGCAGUCCUCUCAAGAGACCAUUUGUAGUGGAUCUGCCCAGUGCAGGACUUUAUUUGAUCUCCUGACUGUGCAUUCCCUGGAUAUUGGUUGUGGAUACUAAUAAAAUGAAAUUCUUUGCAACUUCAA